UACGUAGGUGGCAAGCGUUAUCCGGAUUUACUGGGUGUAAAGGGAGCGUAGACGGCGAUGCAAGCCAGAUGUGAAAGCCCGGGGCUCAACCCCGGGACUGCAUUUGGAACUGUAUAGCUAGAGUGUCGGAGAGGCAGGCGGAAUUCCUAGUGUAGCGGUGAAAUGCGUAGAUAUUAGGAGGAACACCAGUGGCGAAGGCGGCCUGCUGGACGAUGACUGACGUUGAGGCUCGAAAGCGUGGGGAGCAAACAGG
rnacentral:rRNA from 1 species